AUUGAACGCUGGCGGCAUGCCUUACACAUGCAAGUCGAACGGUAACAGGUCUUCGGAUGCUGACGAGUGGCGAACGGGUGAGUAAUGUAUCGGAACGUGCCCAGUCGUGGGGGAUAACUACUCGAAAGAGUGGCUAAUACCGCAUACGACCUGAGGGUGAAAGCGGGGGAGCGUAAGGCCUCGCGCGAUUGGAGCGGCCGAUAUCAGAUUAGGUAGUUGGUGGGGUAAAGGCCCACCAAGCCGACGAUCUGUAGCUGGUCUGAGAGGACGACCAGCCACACUGGGACUGAGACACGGCCCAGACUCCUACGGGAGGCAGCAGUGGGGAAUUUUGGACAAUGGGCGCAAGCCUGAUCCAGCCAUGCCGCGUGCGGGAAGAAGGCCUUCGGGUUGUAAACCGCUUUUGUCAGGGAAGAAACGGAUUUCUCUAAUACAGAGAUCUAAUGACGGUACCUGAAGAAUAAGCACCGGCUAACUACGUGCCAGCCGCCGCCGUAAGAC
rnacentral:rRNA from 1 species